GUUUGGGAGAAGGGGGUGGGAUUAUGGACAUUGGGGAGGGUAUGUGCUUUGGUGAGUGCUGUGAAGUGUGUAAACCUGGUGAUUCACAGACCUGUACCCCUGGGGAUAAAAAUAUAUGUUUAUAAAAAAUAAAAAAUUAAUAAAAAAAAAAGAAAAAAAGGAAUAAAGGUGGGUAAUAUGCUGAAAAAACAACAACAACAACAACAAAAAAGCUCUGACCCAGUAAAACCCCCGGCUAAUAACCUGUCAUUGUCUUUCUCUUCAUAGCUGAGAAUCUUGGUACGAAGGAGAGUUUGUUUUGAUUGAGAACCUUGCCUCUGUUCAUUCUUCAUGUGCAAUUGAUCACCACUCAGCAGUCUCCAUCACCCUGUGAGAUCCCUCAGGCCAGGUAAGCCCUGUCCCUCCCUGGUGCCCAGGCAACCACCCAUCAGCUUUCUGUCUCUACUGCCUGUCCUUUGUGAGUAUUUCACAGGGAAGCUGUCCGACAGGGCGGGUCUCUCAGGGGUACUUUCUUUCACUCAGCCUGUCCAUCCCUUCCUUCUAGGGCCACUGACAAUAGGUUCUUUCCACGCUGGGGCUACUGUGAGCAAGUUUGCUGUGUGCAAGCUUUUGCCUGGACGUACACCUGUCUGGAAAAUUGGCGCCCUUGUGACCUCCCUGUCCCUUGUCUGAUGUCUACCUUUUUGUAAUCCCUGCUCCAUCUUGCCCCGUCCCCGUCAAAGGCUCUUUCCCCCGGGGGGUCCCUUGCUGUUCCCUCUAGUGGGAGUAUCUCACCCUUUUCUGACCUCCCCUGACUCUGUUUCCUUUGUCGUGCUGGGCUGUACUUGACCUGCCUGUAAGUUAAAUGCUGUUCUAGAAAUUUUAAAUAAAAAUGUUUCCCGG
rnacentral:lncRNA from 1 species